rnacentral:rRNA from 1 species
UACGGAAGGCAGCAGUGGGGAAUAUUGCACAAUGGGCGAAAGCCUGAUGCAGCUAUGCCGCGUGUAUGAAGAAGGCCUUAGGGUUGUAAAGUACUUUCAUUGGGGAGGAAAAAACAAAACUAAUAAUUUUAUUUCUUGACGUUACCCGAAAAAGAAGCACCGGCUAACUCCGUGCCAGCAGCCGCGGUAAUACGGAGGGUGCUAGCGUUAAUCAGAAUUACUGGGCGUAAAGAGCACGUAGGUGGUUUUUUUAAGUCAGAUGUGAAAUCCCUGGGCUUAACCUGGAACUGCAUUUUGAAACUGAAAUACUAGAGUAUCGUAGAGGGAGGUAGAAUUCUAGGUGUAGCGGUGAAAUGCGUAGAUAUCUGGAGGAAUACCUGUGGCGAAAGCGGCCUCCUAAACGAAUACUGACACUGAGGUGCGAAAGCGUGGGGAGCAAACAGGGAUUAGAUACC